CGAGCGAGCUUGCCUAGAUGAUUUUAGUGCUUGCACUAAAUGAAACUAGAUACAAGCGAGCGGCGGACGGGUGAGUAACACGUGGGUAACCUGCCCAAGAGACUGGGAUAACACCUGGAAACAGAUGCUAAUACCGGAUAACAACACUAGACGCAUGUCUAGAGUUUGAAAGAUGGUUCUGCUAUCACUCUUGGAUGGACCUGCGGUGCAUUAGCUAGUUGGUAAGGUAACGGCUUACCAAGGCAAUGAUGCAUAGCCGAGUUGAGAGACUGAUCGGCCACAUUGGGACUGAGACACGGCCCAAACUCCUACGGGAGGCAGCAGUAGGGAAUCUUCCACAAUGGACGAAAGUCUGAUGGAGCAACGCCGCGUGAGUGAAGAAGGGUUUCGGCUCGUAAAGCUCUGUUGGUAGUGAAGAAAGAUAGAGGUAGUAACUGGCCUUUAUUUGACGGUAAUUACUUAGAAAGUCACGGCUAACUACGUGCCAGCAGCCGCGGUAAUACGUAGGUGGCAAGCGUUGUCCGGAUUUAUUGGGCGUAAAGCGAGUGCAGGCGGUUCAAUAAGUCUGAUGUGAAAGCCUUCGGCUCAACCGGAGAAUUGCAUCAGAAACUGUUGAACUUGAGUGCAGAAGAGGAGAGUGGAACUCCAUGUGUAGCGGUGGAAUGCGUAGAUAUAUGGAAGAACACCAGUGGCGAAGGCGGCUCUCUGGUCUGCAACUGACGCUGAGGCUCGAAAGCAUGGGUAGCGAACAGGAUUAGAUACCCUGGUAGUCCAUGCCGUAAACGAUGAGUGCUAAGUGUUGGGAGGUUUCCGCCUCUCAGUGCUGCAGCUAACGCAUUAAGCACUCCGCCUGGGGAGUACGACCGCAAGGUUGAAACUCAAAGGAAUUGACGGGGGCCCGCACAAGCGGUGGAGCAUGUGGUUUAAUUCGAAGCAACGCGAAGAACCUUACCAGGUCUUGACAUCCAGUGCAAACCUAAGAGAUUAGGUGUUCCCUUCGGGGACGCUGAGACAGGUGGUGCAUGGCUGUCGUCAGCUCGUGUCGUGAGAUGUUGGGUUAAGUCCCGCAACGAGCGCAACCCUUGUCAUUAGUUGCCAUCAUUAAGUUGGGCACUCUAAUGAGACUGCCGGUGACAAACCGGAGGAAGGUGGGGAUGACGUCAAGUCAUCAUGCCCCUUAUGACCUGGGCUACACACGUGCUACAAUGGACGGUACAACGAGAAGCGAACCUGCGAAGGCAAGCGGAUCUCUUAAAGCUGUUCUCAGUUCGGACUGUAGGCUGCAACUCGCCUACACGAAGCUGGAAUCGCUAGUAA
rnacentral:rRNA from 1 species